rnacentral:rRNA from 1 species
UGUUGAACUUUACUUUAGUUUAGCUGGGGCAGCCAUAUAAUUAUAAUUUUAUAUUAUUAAUACUAAAAAUAGAUCUAAUAUAAUUAAUUUUAUAAUCAAGUUACCUUAGGGAUAACAGCAUAAUAAUUUUUAACAGCUCUAAUUUAAAAAAAAGUUUGUGACCUCGAUGUUGAAUUAUUACAUCUAAUUUUAGAAAAUUAAAAUUAAGAAAGUCUGUUCGACUUUUAAAAUUUUACAU